rnacentral:tRNA from 1 species
CUCUAAGUAGCUUAAACCACUAAAAGCACUGGUCUUGUAAACCAAAGAAUGAAGAACACAACCUUCCUAGAGUA